rnacentral:rRNA from 1 species
AUGCUUGGAUUUGACAUUGCCGAUGCCGUUGCCUUACUUCGUCUUGAUGACCUGUAUGUGGACUCCUUCGAGAUCAAGGAUGUGAAGACACUCAGAGGGGAGCUUCUGUCACGUGCCAUUUCGCGCCUAUCAGGGAAAGGAGGCAAGACCAAGAUUUACCACUCGGCGGAUUUCGUUGCUGAUGGAUUGCCAUUGCUGCAUCUCCUUUUUUUGCCGCUAUGGUUUGCCCUGUUUGUCGUUGUCUGGGUGCCCCUUGUGUACCAUUGGCGCCAGAUCAUGAAGUCCCUGAAGUUUUUGAUGUUGUCCUUGAUGAGGAUUGCUUCAGGAGAAUGGCAAUCUUCCUCUGCAUCACUUUCAUUCUCACCACUACUGCAAUCCAGAUGCUAA